AAGCUGUUCAACAGAUAAACUGUUGUUUAUUUUUUUUUACUGUUUAAUGUGAGCAGAUACACCAUGGUUUUUGGCCGAUAUUCCACCCAGGCAAGGACAAGAAAAAACUCCGCAGAACUGGAUGGAAUGAAGGGGUUGGAGAAUAAAGAUAUUUUUCUGGCAGAACCUGGUACUCUAAGAAAGUCACCCUAA
rnacentral:lncRNA from 12 species